rnacentral:rRNA from 1 species
UACGUAGGGGGCAAGCGUUAUCCGGAUUUACUGGGUGUAAAGGGAGCGUAGACGGCAAAGCAAGUCUGAAGUGAAAGCCCGGGGCUCAACCCCGGGACUGCUUUGGAAACUGUUCUGCUAGAGUGCUGGAGAGGUAAGCGGAAUUCCAAGUGUAGCGGUGGAAUGCGCAGAUAUUUGGAAGAACACCGGUGGCGAAAGCGGCUCUCUGGUCUGUAACUGACGCUGAGGCUCGAAAGCAUGGGGAGCAAACAGG